GAUGAACGCUGGCGGCGUGCCUAAUACAUGCAAGUCGAGCGAACGGACGAGAAGCUUGCUUCUCUGAUGUUAGCGGCGGACGGGUGAGUAACACGUGGAUAACCUACCUAUAAGACUGGGAUAACUUCGGGAAACCGGAGCUAAUACCGGAUAAUAUUUUGAACCGCAUGGUUCAAAAGUGAAAGACGGUCUUGCUGUCACUUAUAGAUGGAUCCGCGCUGCAUUAGCUAGUUGGUAAGGUAACGGCUUACCAAGGCAACGAUGCAUAGCCGACCUGAGAGGGUGAUCGGCCACACUGGAACUGAGACACGGUCCAGACUCCUACGGGAGGCAGCAGUAGGGAAUCUUCCGCAAUGGGCGAAAGCCUGACGGAGCAACGCCGCGUGAGUGAUGAAGGUCUUCGGAUCGUAAAACUCUGUUAUUAGGGAAGAACAUAUGUGUAAGUAACUGUGCACAUCUUGACGGUACCUAAUCAGGAAGCCACGGCUAACUACGUGCCAGCAGCCGCGGUAAUACGUAGGUGGCAAGCGUUAUCCGGAAUUAUUGGGCGUAAAGCGCGCGUAGGCGGUUUUUUAAGUCUGAUGUGAAAGCCCACGGCUCAACCGUGGAGGGUCAUUGGAAACUGGAAAACUUGAGUGCAGAAGAGGAAAGUGGAAUUCCAUGUGUAGCGGUGAAAUGCGCAGAGAUAUGGAGGAACACCAGUGGCGAAGGCGACUUUCUGGUCUGUAACUGACGCUGAUGUGCGAAAGCGUGGGGAUCAAACAGGAUUAGAUACCCUGGUAGUCCACGCCGUAAACGAUGAGUGCCAAGUGUUAGGGGGUUUCCGCCCCUUAGUGCUGCAGCUAACGCAUUAAGCACUCCGCCUGGGGAGUACGACCGCAAGGUUGAAACUCAAAGGAAUUGACGGGGACCCGCACAAGCGGUGGAGCAUGUGGUUUAAUUCGAAGCAACGCGAAGAACCUUACCAAAUCUUGACAUCCUUUGACAACUCUAGAGAUAGAGCUUUCCCCUUCGGGGGACAAAGUGACAGGUGGUGCAUGGUUGUCGUCAGCUCGUGUCGUGAGAUGUUGGGUUAAGUCCCGCAACGAGCGCAACCCUUAAGCUUAGUUGCCAUCAUUAAGUUGGGCACUCUAAGUUGACUGCCGGUGACAAACCGGAGGAAGGUGGGGAUGACGUCAAAUCAUCAUGCCCCUUAUGAUUUGGGCUACACACGUGCUACAAUGGACAAUACAAAGGGCAGCGAAACCGCGAGGUCAAGCAAAUCCCAUAAAGUUGUUCUCAGUUCGGAUUGUAGUCUGCAACUCGACUACAUGAAGCUGGAAUCGCUAGUAAUCGUAGAUCAGCAUGCUACGGUGAAUACGUUCCCGGGUCUUGUACACACCGCCCGUCACACCACGAGAGUUUGUAACACCCGAAGCCGGUGGAGUAACCUUUUAGGAGCUAGCCGUCGAAGGUGGGACAAAUGAUUGGGGUG
rnacentral:rRNA from 1 species